rnacentral:rRNA from 1 species
AUUGAACGCUGGCGGCAUGCUCUACACAUGCAAGUCGAACGGUAACAGGCCGCAAGGUGCUGACGAGUGGCGAACGGGUGAGUAAUGCAUCGGAACGUGCCCAGUCGUGGGGGAUAACUACUCGAAAGAGUAGCUAAUACCGCAUACGAUCUAUGGAUGAAAGCGGGGGACCGUAAGGCCUCGCGCGAUUGGAGCGGCCGAUGUCAGAUUAGGUAGUUGGUGGGGUAAAGGCUGACCAAGCCAACGAUCUGUAGCUGGUCUGAGAGGACGACCAGCCACACUGGGACUGAGACACGGCCCAGACUCCUACGGGAGGCAGCAGUGGGGAAUUUUGGACAAUGGGCGCAAGCCUGAUCCAGCAAUGCCGCGUGCAGGAAGAAGGCCUUCGGGUUGUAAACUGCUUUUGUACGGAACGAAACGGCUCUGGUUAAUACCCGGGGCUAAUGACGGUACCGUAAGAAUAAGCACCGGCUAACUACGUG